ensembl:snRNA U1 U1 spliceosomal RNA
AUACUUCCCUGGCAGGUAAGGUGCCAUGAUCAUGAAGAUGGUUUUCCCAGAGUGAGGCUCACCCACUGCACUCCAGUUAGGCUGACCCCUGCCAUUUCUCCAAAUGCAGGAAACUCAACUGCAUAAUUUGUGGUAGUGGGGGACUUUGUUCACGCUUCUCCUGU